GGCUCCCCACUGCCUCUCCUUUGCAGAGCUAUCACUGGCCCCUGGUUGCAAACUCUCGGUGGCUUUCAAGCCUACAAAACAAAAACUGAGAGGGUGUCCAAAAAGAGAAGAAGAAAACGUUGUUGUUGGUCCUGGAUUCCACUGUUGGAUUUUGGUGGGGAUGAGAAGAAGGAAUUACCAGGCGUGAUCAACAAAGGUACCUGCACGAUGACAUCUCCUAAUCUUUCUUCUUCGAACAAGAAAAAAAAUGGUUGCCAACAGUUUGAAGGGAAAAGAAGAUAAAAGAAAACAGAGUCUGCCAUCAGUGGGUAUAGGAGACAGUUAAAAAAA
rnacentral:sRNA from 1 species